UUAUAUAGAUAUAUAUAAUUAUAUAUAAUAUAAUAUUGUAAUUAAUAUAAUAUUUAUUAUAUAUAUAUCCACUUUUGAAUAUAUAUAUACCUACUUAUAUAUUUAUGUGCCUAUAUCUGUAGGUGGAUAAAUAGAGAUUCUAUGGAAUCUGGGAUCCCUGCAGGAGGAAGGUCCUGGAGAAAGGCAGGUUUAGCAGGGCUCUGGUACACAACUUCCUGCAGGAAGCAGAGGCAGCAGAGCACAGGAAACCCCAACACUACAAGAACUUCACUCCCUGCAAGGCCAGAACCCCACAAAGAUCCCCUGCCAUAAAAAAGGGCAUCUCCAGCUUGCAGAUUCCCCUCACAAACCUUUGUGCGUUUGGGCAGAGCAGGAUUUAUUCAUCCUAAACUCGGCUUCAAUCCUGCACCCCAGCAAAGCCCCAAACUCUCAGGGGUGGGGAUUGUCCGGUUUAUCUCGGCUGUUUGAGGGGCCUGGAA
rnacentral:lncRNA from 1 species